UACAGAGGGUGCGAGCGUUAAUCGGAAUUACUGGGCGUAAAGGGCGCGUAGGCGGUCCUUCAAGUCAGGCGUGAAAGCCCCGGGCUCAACCUGGGAACCGCGCUUGAGACUGGCGGACUCGAGUUCGGGAGAGGAUGGUGGAAUUCCCAGUGUAGAGGUGAAAUUCGUAGAUAUUGGGAAGAACACCGAUGGCGAAGGCAGCCAUCUGGACCGACACUGACGCUGAGGCGCGAAAGCGUGGGGAGCAAACAGG
rnacentral:rRNA from 1 species